rnacentral:lncRNA from 1 species
GGAAAAUUGCGGGUUUCUGAGUGGUACCAGGAAUUGACUGCUUUAACCUCCAACUGAGGAUCUUGGAAAACCUUGGAAGUGAAGAAGGAUAAGGGAAAUAAAACUUGUUGGUGAUGCAGCAGCUGAAAUCCACCAUGUCCCUGGAGAUGCUGGUGUGGGCAGGUCGCAAGCCACUGGUAUUGGCUGCAAUGGAUACUGAACUUGACCAAAUCUUUUCAUUCUAAUCCUUCUAAAUGCAUUAUACAAAGAAAUCAACCUAAUAGAAGAAUGCUUUACAAUAUAAUUAUUGGCAUGACUAUCAGCAAGGAAAGUAUUCAUCCUUCUUUUAAAAAUAGCUAACCUUUGCACGCAUAACUUAAUCGUGAGUUUUAAUAUGUAGAAGUUUCAGGUAACUGUAUACAUCGAUUCAUGUCAGAGCAAUACUUUGAAAAAAAGAGUUCAAUGUUAAUAUAAAGUCUGAAAGAAAGGGCCAAAAGAUCAAGAAUUGGCACCCUUUCCUUUAGAUUUAUGUCAGGCAUAUUGUCCUCUUCAGGCAGCCACGUCCAACAGCUACUCUGUAUCCCUUGAAUGUUCUGAAACAAAUCAUGCCUGUGAUCUGCAGAGAAAACGUGGAGGGACUGGAAAUGGAUCUCGUCUGUCUUCUUUUCUAGAAGACAAGGGAAAGGGGGCAACUAGCGAAGAAAGGUCAGCUGGGGUGGGGGUACCCUUUAGGGAAAACAUACAAGAUGGCUUCAGGGACAGACAUAAAUGGAAAUGGCUAUAACAGUCUUAGAUGGACAAGGCAGCUGGAAUACAGAUGGGCCUACUGCCAGAGAUGGGAUGGCUUAGACACUCAGGAAUGGGUGAAAGGGGCUUUAUGUGAACAUGAUAAACAGAGGGAGAUUCAGGUAUCAAAACCAAGAGGACCUAUUUGUGGAACACAUGAGCAGGGAUGUCAGAAUUUGGCAAGGAAAAAAAUUAGUUUAAUUCACUUAAAAAGUAGAUUUUAGAACAAAAUGGAUUUCUUUUUAAAAUACUUGAAUCCAAUCAUUUGCUGAAUUUAUGCUGAGAAUAGAUUCAGAAGAAAAGAAGACGUGAAAGAGAAUGUGUUUAGCCUAAAAAGUAUGCAGGGGAAACAAAUGCUGAGAAAACAUAGUAAGGGUGAGGGCUGGGUGGAGUCUGAGAGACAGAUGAGCAAGAUUAUGUAAAGGGAAAGCAGGAAAAGGAAAGAUGAAGAAGUCAGACUAGACAAAGAUGCUAUUCCAAAACUAUCAAAGGAAAGAGAGUGCCUAAUAUGGGCAACUCAACUGAAGAAAAAUACACUAAACAUGUAUACUAAACAUGUGAUAGUUAUCAUGAAGCAUGCUGAUAAGUGUUAUUUUAAAAUGAUACAUUUUGCAGUGGCCACAUUGUAGCUUGUGAACAUCCUGAGUAAUGAGUUCCUUCUGAAGACUAGAAAAAUGUACAUGUAACUUGCUUUUUGUCAUUCAGUACUAAUAGCCAGUUCAGGUACUGAGGAAUAAAUAUCUUGGGAAAAGACAUUUUAUUUAUUUUAAGAACAUGCUCACUGACCUAACCUUUUGCUCCCUCCAUUGACAUAAGCAGCAUAGCCCAAAUAAAUCAAAAAGGUAGUUUUCCUUCAUGUUAAGGUCAGAACACAUAGCAUAGGAACAUAAAGAAUAAAAAGGAGCAAUCAAAGAAUUCUCAGGCCAGGCGCGGUGACUCAUGUCUGUAAUCCCAACACUUUGGGAGGCUGAGGUGGGCAG